rnacentral:rRNA from 1 species
GACGAACGCUGGCGGCGUGCUUAACACAUGCAAGUCGAACGGAAAGGCCCUGCUUUUGUGGGGUGCUCGAGUGGCGAACGGGUGAGUAACACGUGAGUAACCUGCCCUUGACUUUGGGAUAACUUCAGGAAACUGGGGCUCAUACCGGAUAGGAGCUCCUGCUGCAUGGGGGGGGUUGGAGAGUUUCGGCGGUUGGGGCUGGACUCGCGGCGUAUCAGCUUGUUGGUGGGGUAGUGGCUUACCAAGGCUUUGACGGGUAGCCGGCCUGAGAGGGUGACCGGCGACAUUGGGACUGAGAUACGGCCCAGACUCCUACGGGAGGCAGCAGUGGGGAAUAUUGCACAAUGGGCGGAAGCCUGAUGCAGCAACGCCGCGUGCGGGAUGACGGCCUUCGGGUUGUAAACCGCUUUCGCCUGUGACGAAGCGUGAGUGACGGUAAUGUGUAAAGAAGCACCAGCUAACUACGUG